UGGCGAGUGCACCUACCGUGUAUACACGUAUGUUGUUACAGGGUGGUUAACUUCGCCAACGGCCCCCUUUCCCGAGGCAGUCCCUGCUCUCCCCUGCUAGAGGGGCACCCUAAUCCGUAUGUAUGUAUGAAUAGGACCCCAUGCGUGGUCAACCCCGGAAGCACCUACUCCUCAAGCCCCGAUUUGCUGGAAAACUCCUGAACCCCUACGCCGCGUUACGUCGGUCUAUCUGUAUGUAUGCAUGUAUGAGCGCGCGGCUCAGGCUCCUCAUGAGCUCCUCGCGAAUAGGUCGCAUGUACCACUACAGUGGUAGGUCCACCGCCAGAAAGUCCGGCGGUACCCGGGGGCACUUCCAGGGACCCCGCCUUGCGAGUUCGCAAGGAAGCAAAGCAAAGCAAAGCGAAGGCUGAAGAAAUUAGAGGUGGAGCAGAUUAGAGAGGUCAGCCAUGGUGGCCGCAGUCGGCAGCUGAAGCCCGGUCAGUGAAACCCUUCGACCCGGGUACACAAUUACAAGGAUUCGUGUUCCUAAGCAAUUCCUAGUUCUAGUACCCCAUUGCUAAGUCCCGCUCCGCCUACCACAAAUCAAAGCGUGGGCACAAAAAGCACGGCAUUCUCGACAGAUGCCCAUUUACCAUCUGUACCUGAACAUGCGUGCAUGGUUCAGCAUGCAUGAGACAUGUGCAUACACGCAUAUGCACAACGGUGCAGCAUGCGGGGAACCCCGACCCCGAUCGGGCCCGAGUGCCCGAGAAGCACACCAUGUUGACACUACCCUAGCUACCGGCCUGUACGGAUGCCCCCGCGGGGCCCCCGCCCUAUUUCCAACUUCAAGGAAGCCAACACCCGACUUGUCUCUUCCGUGUAUAUUCUUGAGUACUAGAACGUUUCCAUUGUACUAUGUCCCUAACCUAACUUGUGGUUCUUAGGCUCUUGGACCUCUGGCUCGUACGGGCCUGUCACACCUCUCUGGGUAAUUUGCAAAGGCCGGCUGGAGACCAGCUUCCUCCAGAGAUGUGACUCAACAUUUCCUAGGUGCGUGGAGCACACAAACAAGUCGCCACAAUCAAUCGUCUGGUGCCGAUAGACGGGGGCAAAACUUGAUGAGGGGUGUGUUUGUGUGUGUGGUGGGGGAUCACAAUAACUUGGUUAGCAUGGUCCCGACUAUGCCAACCGUACAAAAAGCGGGAGGGUAUCCGGGGUUCUCCCGGGAUACUACCGAGCAUCCAUUCCACCGUUAGAUCACAACGUCGAUUGACUCACGUGCCGGUCGUGGUCCCAUCCAGGAACUUAUCCACGACGACAUGAUGUAUGACGUGUGAGCUCACGUCAACACCUUCCUCCCCCGGGCGAAUAUGUAGCGGUUGUAUUCGUCACACCCAUUUACUAUAAUGGUGGCAAAUGUCCGUACCCCUCAUCAGCUUGCCAGCGUUGGACGCGACGAUGCCUAGCGUGUAGACGGCUUCUGUGCCGGCGUCCCAUCCAGUGCAAGGUUCAGAUAGCACAGUCUCGGAACGCACCACGAAUCAGUCGAGCAAUUCGCACCAUCCAACAACUGAACGGGGGAUUUAAGCGAAGGAUGCCUCAUAUUAUUGUGCAUCUGUCCCUUACUCAUACAUUGAAUUUCAGCUCUAUCCAGAUAAAUCUUUGCAGUGAUCCGCUUGGGGUCUGGUGCUAUAUCUGAAAAUGGCUUUGAGGGUUGUGUUUGGCAUUCUAUUGCUGGUGUUGGUGGCGCAGCAGGCCGCAGCGGGGGGAAGCGGAGGCAAGGAGCGCCGCUGGCCCAAGGAGUUGAAGGAGGAUUUUCAGGUACAUAGGAUAAUCGGUAAAUCGGUAAAUAGAAAAUAGGUAAAUAGGUAAAUAGGUAGGUAGGGAGGUAGGGCUGAUGUACCCAACCUUUACCACUUGACCCGGUCGCCUCACUCCCUCAUUCGCCAUUCCAUGCACCCUUCCCCCCUAGGACACACACACCAUCACACUAAAACACACACGCACGACGCAACCAGGGCCCCACAUGUUCAUGCGUUGCAGUUUGAGCUCCGCAACAUCUACAGCAACCGGCAGAACGGCAGUCGCUACAACUUCCUCACCAAGUACCGCUAUCCCAGCAGCUCUGGUGGGUGCAGUACAUUCGUAGGGAACUGACAAAGCCGUACGGACCAGGCAGGGGGCCACAUUUCGCUCCAUUCGGAGGCAGUGGUGCUGCGCGCCGAAUGCUUUGCCUUCCUGUGUGCUGCAACGCGCUGUGCUGUGCUCGUCUACUGCAGAGGCAUUCGAUUUCCAUGAGGCGGAAGAGAUUAUCCUGAAGUUCGUGCCUGCCGGUGGCAUGGGCAUCAAAGGCGACGCAUUCACUGAAGUCCUUUCCCUCGCCAUCGCUAAGGCGCUCUGGGCGAAGUUUAACCUUGUCGGCUUGAGCUUCCGCAUUGAGGUGCAGGUGUGUGUGGGGCCCUGUGUGCGGGUGAUGGCGGCUAAUGUGAGGCCGCCUCAUCAGCCCCGAUGAUAAGGUUCAGCUAGGUUUACCUAGGGCGAACGAGACCUCGAGAUGCAGAUGCACAGGAUUACGUACGAUUACAAACCAGUCAGGAAGGAUUUAGGACAAUGUGGAUUGAACGGGCGUAGCUGGGACUCGCCAUGCCGCGUGCCGUACCGUGGUACGGCAGAUUGCGCGCAUCUAUGUCCUUCGAGGACUUGCGACGUUUAUUUAAUUUGUAGUACGAUACCGGAGUAAUAAUAUCAGGGGUCGCGACUGCGCCCACAAAUUUUAACGGUGGCAGCGCCCACGCUACACCCAAGCUGACCAUCCCUGUCAAUUCCAAUCAAUACGUAACCGGCGCAGGGUUCGACACUGACUUUCCUGAAACUUGCGGGAUCCCCCGUACCUCCCAAAUUUUCCCUACGGAGGGGCCCCCGUACCAGGCUCCUGUACUGGCCGAAAACCUUACGGGGGCCCCCGUAACCCCGCAAAACCUUUUCGGGGACACUGUCCUUGGCUAAAACGCUGUGGAAAGUGACACUUUGCAUUUUUUGCCCUGUAAAUCGUUAUUUAUGUUAUUUUCCCGUGAACCAUUACACACGGGGGCACGGCACACUCAGCGAAAGCCAAGCGCCUUGGCCGCCGCGGCCGCCCAUCCCUUCUGCUCCUCUUUCGCGUCCUCCUCCUCAUCAACAAAAUCCUCAUCCACGGACGACUCAUCGGUAUCUCGUUCUACGUCGGUCUCGUAGUCACUGUCACUAAAAGCCUCAUCGUCACUAGCGGGAUAUGUUGCUUGUACCAGUACUUCAAUCUCUGGGUCCGUCGCAACCUCCUCGUUAUCAUCCUCUCCGUAUGGAUUCAAAUUAAUUUUGCUAACGUCAGAAAACAACUUGUGAAUAAUGCCUGUAUAACCCUUACGCGAGUAGAUCCCAGUAGCCUGAUCAAUCAGUGGCUUCGCCCCGGUAUCAGCAGCAGGUCCCAACAUGCCCACAUCCAGCUUUAGCCGGUUCGUCAGGCGAUUCUUAAUAAUACGAUGCCGGCUAAAUCCGCGCUCAACACAUGCCGUCUGUGUUGGCAGGAUUGUAGCGACUUGAGCCAAACGCAUCAUACGCUGCCAUCGCUGGAUGUUAAAGACUGGAAGCUAUAAAAGUAUUAUGAAAAGUGAAGUUAAAUAUUGCAAUAUGAAUUAUGCCUACCAAGUGUGUGGCUUUAUCCUUUAUAUGGUCCGUCCUCUCCCCUACAGGGCCCCGUAAGGCCUCUUAUUGUCUGCCAUCGCUGGAUGUUACAGACCAGAAGCUAUAAAAAUAUUAUGAAAAGUGUAGUUACAUAUUGCAAUAUGAAUUAUGCCUGCCAAGUGUGGGGCCUUAUCCUUUAUAUGGUCCGUCCUCUCCCCUACAGGGCCCCGUAAGGCAUCUUAUAAAUCCUUAAAUUUCUUACGGGAGUCACCGUAACCGGCCUUCGCCCUGUUCGGGGUCGGCCCCGUACGGGGCGCUUCGCGCCCCAAAAUCUUUACGGGAGCCACCGCAAAGUCCUACGGACCCGUACGGGGAUACCGAAAAAAGGCCAAAAACUUACGGGCCCCGUACGGGGUGUCGAACACUGAACCGGCGCCAGCUGGUUCACCCACUCUUCGCUUGCAUACUUUUUGGGCCUUUCUGGCUCGGUGCGAGUUUUGUACUUGUACAUACAUGCAGGGUAUGUCGUCGGAUGUCCGGAGUCACUACGCCUCCACCGUCACCGUGGGAGAUAUCGAACCUUGGGUCUCCCUCGUCAACAACUUCCCCGGCUGUGACGGAAUGGAUACGGACGAGGGCAACAAGGCCUGCCGCAUCUAUCCCAUUUUGAACGGCAAGGACCGCGACCUGGCUGCCAUUGCUGCUAAGAAGGCUGGCAAGCACGACAAGCCCAAGUACUGCGACUUCUGCGGCUAAUCGCAUAUCAUGCGAUAAUGCGCAUGGUGGUGAUCCUUCGUUUCUACUAGCGGUACAUCAAGACGUGGAUGAACGUAGCUGCCAGGGUGUGAGGCUUAAUUGUAUGGUCAAGCCGCAUAUGUAUUCUCUUUUGAUGUGUGUGAUCAUAGGCAAGCAUGUGUACGGCGGUAGGGGUGUUACACAUGACGGAAGUCAGUAGAGCAUCAUAGACCAUCAUGCACAUGGGGGAAGAGGCUGGGGGACUCAGUGCAGGUUAGUAUCGGGUCAGUUGCUGUCGGGAGGCGGAUGGUACAGCGCCACCUGCAUGGGUAUAGCUGCACUGAGUGGAAUCAUCAUCUGAAGACAGUGAUGCGGUCAUCAGUUUCCAUUUCCUCUGGAACACAAGCAAACUCGUGGCUUAGUGGCUGUCCGUUGUAAUGAACACGCAAUUCUCUGUCUAGGUACCACAGCUGCCUGAUCUCCCACAAGCAUGCUCUCCGCUUGGCUGCCAAAGCAGGCAGGGAUUCUUUUCAGAACACUGAGUUAGUCCUGGUCGUAGUCGUAGCGGAGCUUGCUGCAUGCCGGACCACUUGUUCUUCCUUUCCAUGUCUGUGUCUAUUACAGCGACAGGCGAUGUGCCCUUUGCGGCAAUAACGGCGUCUAAUUUGAACCAGGGAAGAUUUGGGCAGCGUAAGCCGAAAUAUGAACUGCCAGCAAAAGGAAAGGUGCUGCGUUCUGGUCAGUUGGAUGGCAAGAUGUGAAAUCCGGCCGUCAUCGGCUGUCGUCAAGCCGGCUACAGCCAUGUGCAGCAGUAAUGUGCAGUUAGACAUGCGGCGUGCACGUAGGCUGAAGUGCACGUGUGUGAACGAUGCCACAAACUGGCAUGAAUAUCAGUAGGCCGAAAGGAAGGGGCCCAGGCAGUGCGCACGCGCAUGUGUGUAUGUACGUAUGUGCGUGCGUGUGUGUAUGGGUGUGACUGGGUGUGUGUGUGUGCGUGUGUAUGUGUGUUUUACAUCACCUAACCGGGUUCUGAUACCUGACCAAGGGGCAGCUACUGGACCUGACACUGACCAGGGAUGCAGGGUCCCUGCCCUGACGGAGGGCAGCAGUCGUCAGCAGUCUAGUCGCUCUCCGACACAGGAAGAGAGGGCCUUGAGGGGUGGGCUGCUGACCCCAUCGUGGCGAGUGCACCUACCGUGUAUACACGUAUGUUAUUACAGGGUGGUUAACUUCGCCAACGGCCCCCUUUCCCGAGGCAGUCCCUGCUCUCCCCUGCUAGAGGGGCACCCUAAUCCGUAUGUAUGUAUGAAUAGGACCCCAUGCGUGGUCAACCCCGGAAGCACCUACUCCUCAAGCCCCGAUUUGCUGGAAAACUCCUGAACCCCUACGCCGCGUUACGUCGGUCUAUCUGUAUGUAUGCAUGUAUGAGCGCGCGGCUCAGGCUCCUCAUGAGCUCCUCGCGAAUAGGUCGCAUGUACCACUACAGUGGUAGGUCCACCGCCAGAAAGUCCGGCGGUACCCGGGGGCACUUCCAGGGACCCCGCCUUGCGAGUUCGCAAGGAAGCAAAGCAAAGCAAAGCGAAGGCUGAGGA
rnacentral:lncRNA from 1 species